rnacentral:SRP_RNA from 1 species
GCCGAGCUUGGUAACGCGAGCUUAUAACCCGAGUGGGGACAUUAAGGUGUUGGAACGUUGGCUCCGUCUUAGCUGGUCGGGUCAGGCGCAAGCUCAUUUCCGACUUGCCCAUUCCAAGCAAGGAGUUGGGUUGUGUGGCAUGAGCGAAGGCCUGGGUCACAUUGUCCCUAAAGCGGAGGGCACAGCGUGAGGCUGGUUUCACAGAGCAGCGAUAACCUCCCGCUCCUUGCAGUGGAAGGAUAACAGGUCGGUGCUGCCCUGAUCCAUUGUGGCCCGCUAUACUCUGCCAAUUCGGACCUUCUCUUUUU